UACGUAGGAGGCGAGCGUUGUCCGGAGUUACUGGGCGUAAAGGGUGCGCAGGCGGCGGUGCGCGUGGCGUGGUGAGAUCUCCUGGCUUACCUGGGAGGGUGGUCGCCAGACGGCAUCGCUUGAGGGUAUCAGGGGCUGGUGGAAUUCCCGGUGUAGUGGUGAAAUGCGUAGAGAUCGGGAGGAACACCCGUGGCGAAGGCGGCCAGCUGGGAUACACCUGACGCUGAGGCACGAAGGCGUGGGGAGCGAACGGG
rnacentral:rRNA from 1 species